CAGGACAAAGCUUAAGAGGAAGCAUCCCACUUACACUGGGAAGAAGUUGUGCAAUUCAUCAUGUCUUGA
rnacentral:tRNA from 1 species